rnacentral:misc_RNA from 1 species
CACCCUUUUGGGCAGAAACUGAACAGGGAGUUGCACAGGCAAUCAUUAGGUCUGUCAUAGAUUUUAAAAGGGAUCCUUGGCCAAAGGUUUCUGAUAAUGCCAAAGACCUGGUGAAAAAGAUGCUUGAUCCUGACCCAAAGCGUCGGCUUACAGCACAACAAGUGCUAGAUCAUCCUUGGUUGCAGAAUGCAAAGAAGGCACCUAAUGUUUCGUUGGGUGAAACAGUGAAAGCAAGGCUCAAGCAAUUCUCUGUAAUGAACAAACUCAAGAAAAGAGCUCUUAGGGUAAUAGCUGAGCAUUUGUCAGUAGAGGAAGUUGCUGGUAUAAAGGAGGGAUUUCAACUGAUGGAUACUAGCAAUAAGGGCAAAAUUAACAUUGAUGAGCUAAGAAUUGGUUUGCUGAAACUAGGUCAUCAGAUCACUGACACUGAUCUUCAAAUUCUAAUGGAAGCUGGUGAUGUAGAUCGUGAUGGGCAUCUGGACUAUGGGGAGUUUGUGACCAUUUCUGUUCACCUAAGAAAGAU